rnacentral:rRNA from 1 species
GUGUCAGCAGCCGCGGUAAUACGUAGGGGGCAAGCGUUGUCCGGAAUCAUUGGGCGUAAAGAGCGUGUAGGCGGCUUGGCAAGUCUCGCGUGAAAUCCUGCGGCUCAACCGCAGGCGGUCGCGGGAAACUGCCUCGCUAGAGUCCGGAAGAGGAGAGUGGAAUUCCUGGUGUAGCGGUGGAAUGCGCAGAUAUCAGGAAGAACACCCGUGGCGAAGGCGGCUCUCUGGGACGGUACUGACGCUGAGACGCGAAAGCGUGGGGAGCGAACAGGAUUAGAUACCCCGGUAGUCC